AUUGAAACACUGGUUCUCAUACAAUCACUGAAGUUAAGCAAUUUUGAGCCUGGUCAGUAUCUAGAUGGGUUACUACUUGGGAAUACCAGGCACUGUAAG